ACUCCUACGGGGCGCAGCAGUGAGGAAUAUUGGUCAAUGGGCUUACGCCUGAACCAGCCAAGUCGCGUGAGGGAAGACGGCCCUACGGGUUGUAAACCUCUUUUGUCGGGGAGCAAAGAGAGUCACGUGUGACUCAUUGAGAGUACCCGAAGAAAAAGCAUCGGCUAACUCCGUGCCAGCAGCCGCGGUAAUACGGAGGAUGCGAGCGUUAUCCGGAUUUAUUGGGUUUAAAGGGUGCGCAGGCGGAGGUGCAAGUCAGCGGUCAAAUUGCGGGGCUCAACCCCGUACUGCCGUUGAAACUGCAU
rnacentral:rRNA from 1 species